rnacentral:rRNA from 1 species
GACGUAGGGCGCGAGCGUUGUCCGGAUUUAUUGGGCGUAAAGAGCUCGUAGGCGGCUUGUCGCGUCGUCCGUGAAAACCCACAGCUCAACUGUGGGCUUGCGGUCGAUACGGGCAGGCUAGAGUUCGGUAGGGGAGACUGGAAUUCCUGGUGUAGCGGUGAAAUGCGCAGAUAUCAGGAGGAACACCGGUGGCGAAGGCGGGUCUCUGGGCAAUUCCUGACGCUGAGGCGCGAAAGCGUGGGGAGCAAACGGG